AACAACCCUGGGAAACUAGGGCUAAUACCGGAUACGAGCGAGAGCUGAAAGGUUUACCGCCGAAGGAUCGGCCCGCGUCUGAUUAGCUAGUUGGUGAGGUAACGGCUCACCAAGGCGACGAUCAGUAGCUGGUCUGAGAGGAUGAUCAGCCACAUUGGGACUGAGACACGGCCCAAACUCCUACGGGAGGCAGCAGUGGGGAAUAUUGGACAAUGGGCGCAAGCCUGAUCCAGCCAUGCCGCGUGAGUGAUGACGGCCUUAGGGUUGUAAAGCUCUUUUACCUGGGAAGAUAAUGACGGUACCGGGAGA
rnacentral:rRNA from 1 species